rnacentral:tRNA from 1 species
UUAAUGAAAGCCAAAAAGAGGCUUAUUACUGUUAAUAAUAAAAAUGAAUAAAAUUCUCAUUAAA